CUUAGAAGCAGCCACCCUUGAAAGAGUGCGUAAUAGCUCACUGGUCAAGUGAUUCCGCGCCGACAAUUUAGCGGGGCUCAAGCACACCGCCGAAGUUGUGGCAUUCACACACCUGCUAGGCCUUCGUGGUCCAAGCGUGUGGAUGGGUAGGGGAGCGUCGUGUGGCGAGCGAAGCGGCCGGGUAACCGAGCCGUGGAUGCCACACGAGUGAGAAUGCAGGCAUGAGUAGCGAAAGACUGGUGAGAAACCAGUCCGCCGAAUGACCAAGGGUUCCAGGGCCAGGCUAAUCCGCCCUGGGUAAGUCGGGACCUAAGGCGAGGCCGACAGGCGUAGUCGAUGGACAACGGGUUGAUAUUCCCGUACCGGCUGUACCGCGACCCUGCCGAGGCAGAGGAUGCUAAGCGUCCGAAUCCGCUGCGACCUUCGGGUCAAGGUGGAGGAGCACGCGAACCGAAUCUGUAGUAGGCAAGCAAUGGGGUGACGCAGGAAGGUAGCUCAACCCGGGCGAUGGUUGUCCCGGGGUAAGGAUGUAGGGCGAGACGUAGGCAAAUCCGCGUCUCACAUGCCUGAGAUCUGACGCCGAGCCGAUUAAGGCGAAGUGAGUGAUCCUAUGCUGCCGAGAAAAGCCUCUAGCGAGUUGUACAGCCGCCCGUACCCCAAACCGACACAGGUGGUCAGGUAGAGAAUACCAAGGCGAUCGAGAGAACUGUGGUUAAGGAACUCGGCAAAAUACCCCCGUAACUUCGGGAGAAGGGGGGCCGAUUGAUGUGACGGGACUUGCUCCCUGAGCACCGGUUGGCCGCAGAGACCAGGCCCAAGCGACUGUUUACUAAAAACAUAGGUCCAUGCGAAGUCGCAAGACGAUGUAUAUGGACUGACGCCUGCCCGGUGCUGGAACGUUAAGGGGACGGGUUAGCGACUUCGGUCGCGAAGCUCAGAACUUAAGCGCCAGUAAACGGCGGUGGUAACUAUAACCAUCCUAAGGUAGCGAAAUUCCUUGUCGGGUAAGUUCCGACCUGCACGAAUGGCGUAACGACUUGGGCGCUGUCUCAACCACAGACUCGGCGAAAUUGCACUACGAGUAAAGAUGCUCGUUACGCGCGGCAGGACGGAAAGACCCCGGGACCUUUACUACAGCUUGGUAUUGGUGGUCGGUUCGAUUUGUGUAGGAUAGGUGGGAGACUAUGAAGCGUGGACGCCAGUCCAUGUGGAGUCAUCGUUGAAAUACCACUCUGAUCGUGCUGGCUGUCUAACUUAGGUCCGUGAUCCGGAUCAAGGACAGUGCCUGGUGGGUAGUUUAACUGGGGCGGUUGCCUCCUAAAAUGUAACGGAGGCGCUCAAAGGUUCCCUCAACCUGGUUGGCAAUCAGGUAUCGAGUGUAAAUGCACAAGGGAGCUUGACUGCGAGAGUGACGGCUCGAGCAGGGACGAAAGUCGGAAUUAGUGACCCGGCGCUGGCAAGUGGAAGCGGCGUCGCUCAACGGAUAAAAGGUACCCCGGGGAUAACAGGCUGAUCUUCCCCAAGAG
rnacentral:rRNA from 1 species